GACGAACGCUGGCGGCGUGCUUAACACAUGCAAGUCGAACGGGCCCGCUCUCUUUUUUGGGGGUGGGUUGAGUGGCUAACGGGUGAGUAUCACGUGAGUAACCUGCCCCCUGCUCCUGGAUAACUGCUUGAAAGGGCGGCUAAUACGGGGUGUGCCGGCUGGUCCGCAUGGUCCUGGUCGGGAUAGUUUCAUCUUCGGGUGUUUCGGUGGGGUAUGGGCUCGCGGCCUAUCAGCUUGUUGGUGGGGUGAUGGCUCACCAAGGCGGUGACGGGUAGCCGGCCUGAGAGGGUGGGCGGCCACACUGGGACUGAGACACGGCCCAGACUCCUGCGGGAGGCAGCAGUGGGGGGUAUUGCACAAUGGGCGGAAGCCUGAUGCAGCGACGUCGCGUGAGGGAUGGAGGCCUUCGGGUUGUGAACCUCUUUCUCCGGUGGUGAAGGCCCUGUCCGUUGCGGCGGGGUUGACGGUAGCCGGGUAUGAAGCGCGGGCUAACUACGUG
rnacentral:rRNA from 1 species